AGUUCUCUAAUUCACCUAGAGUUUAUCGACCCAAGUUCAACAUGCAAAUGUCAAUUAACAUAAUCCUCUAUACGUCAACAUAUAUAGUUCAUCUAUCAUAUGCAAUAUGUCAUCAUGUAUAUAUUUUCAUUUAACAUAAUCCACAAUAUGUUAAUUCACAAUAUGUCAUCAUGCACAUAUACCAACUAGCAUCUCAUGAUAUGUCAACACACAUAUAUACAUCAUCUAGCAUAAUCCAAACUAUGCCAACAUGCCUUUCUAUAGUAUCACUUUCAUGCAUUCAUAUAACCUCUAUGACAUGCAUUCAUAUAACAUUUCAUGCAUUCUUAUAGUAUCAUUUUCAUGCAUUCAUAUAACCUCUAUGACAUGCAUUCAUAUAGCAUUUCAUGCAUUCUUAUAGUAUCAUUUUCAUGCAUUCACUUAGCAUAUUUCUUAUGCAUUUACCAUUCUUCAACUUGCUACCAUUAUAUGCAUCAACAAUAAACAACGCUCCAG
rnacentral:lncRNA from 1 species